GCCGGGUGUGGUGGCUCACGCCUGUAAUCCCGGCACUUUGGGAGGCUGAGACGGGUGGAUCACCUGAGGUCAGGACUUCGAGACCAGCCUGGCCAACAUGGUGAAACCCCAUCUCUA
rnacentral:sRNA from 1 species